rnacentral:rRNA from 1 species
UACGUAGGGGGCUAGCGUUGUCCGGAAUCAUUGGGCGUAAAGAGCGUGUAGGCGGCUCGGUAAGUCCGCUGUGAAAGUCCAGGGCUCAACCCUGGAAUGCCAGUGGAAACUGUCGAGCUAGAGUCCGGAAGAGGCGAGUGGAAUCCCUGGUGUAGCGGUGAAAUGCGCAGAUAUCAGGAGGAACACCAAUGGCGAAGGCAGCUCGCUGGGACGGUACUGACGCUGAGACGCGAAAGCGUGGGGAGCAAACAGG